rnacentral:misc_RNA from 1 species
GGAAACGAGGUUCAAACGUGCGCGAGUCAAAACCUAAAUGUAAAAUAGAUUACAACUUGACAAAAUUCAGUCACUUGGGACUAGUGUGAAAUGUUUGUCAAGAACUGAAGGCACAAACUCAUCUUAAAAGUUUGCAAAACAGAACUGAAUUUGAACAUGAGCCCAAAGCGCAUUAUGUGGAAAAACAUUAAAGUAACAUUUUACUUCCACCAAAUGUAAUUGAUGCAAAAAAGAAAAAGAACUAAUAAUGUUAAGAAAGAAUGAAAUUUCACCUGAUGUAAUCUAUUACAUAAUGAAAAGAAAGCAAGCAAUUACUUAUGGAAAGAUAAAGGACUAAUAAGAGUAGCACCUGCAGGAUCAGGAUUACUCUUGCCCAGACAUCCUCUUUCCGGAGUUUUCAUACCUUCUAUCUUAAGGAAAUAUCAUGUAGAUGCACAAUGGGCCAGGAAUGCAGGGGAUGACACAGAUUUUUUGCUGAGUACCCUGAUGAGAGACUUCAAAGUUUGUUGCACACAAUUUUAUGCUGUGGAGUAACAAGAACAUUUUAGAAGCUUUUGCUCAUGGAUAAAGACAGGGCCAGAGAUGCUACAUGAUGUUUUUGCCUCAGUAACAGCCAUACAACAUUUGUCCCAGUUUAUAUCAAAAGGAUCCAUAACAUGAGAAUUGACUGAGUUUUACGCUGGCCUCAACCUACCACAACUCUUCUCCUUUUUCCAGGCCUAGGACCGACUCUGUUUUGCUAAGCUCCCAUAGGCAGAGUUGAACAUUUGCUCCUGUCACAGCCAAAAUUUUGAAUGAAGGAAUAUAUUAAAAGGAAGAGAAAAAAAAUAUUGAAGAUUAUAAAUCUUCCUCUCACCAAUAAAAGACAUACAAACAUAUGCACAAGGGAUAGUUAAAUAUUAACUAAAAUCUCACUCUUUUCUUGACUGAGAAAAACAAAUUAAAAAAAAUUCCUAUAACUUGGGUGAAAAGAACAGCAGUACAAUUGACAAAAAUUAAUCCAGACAUUCUUUCCUUGAAAUGGACUCAUAAAUAGUAGGACAAUGACUAUAGUAACAUUUACCCAACCACGAAAACACAAAACCAUGCAUAAAAUCCGCAUAUUUAUGUAGCAGGUAAAUGAAAGGCCCCUGCGACUCAAUGCUAGUUGUAUUUUGCAAGACCAAAAGUUCGUAUAACUUCAUUUCUUGAAUAAAAGGCAAUAAUGCAAGAGUUUUGUAGACUGAGCCAAAGAAAUGCACAAGAAACUUUUUUAAGGUUGCUUCACAUAGCUUACUUUACCUAAUCUUUCUUGUUGCUAUAGCUGAACUGAACACUGUAGACCAUUAAAAUAAGAGACAUGGAAAGCACCCAAUAAUAAUCUGCUAAUACGUGUUUGCAAAUCAUCACUUUUGCAAGCAUUCCCUGAUUUCAGAUAAUAGUGAUGUUCAUUUGUACUAUAAAAAGAAACCCGAAAAGUUAUAGCAGCGGCAUUUGCCACCAGUUACCUGUAUUUGUUUUUCCAAUUGUUAAUUGUCCAGUAAUAAUACCACCUAACAAAAAAACAUGUCAAACACAUACCCAGGAGAAGGAUUACGAUCAGUAUCUUUCAGCUCCAAUGCCAAUCUUUCCAACAUUUCAUAUAUUUCAUCACAUUGAGGGUGAUCCUUAUCUUUAGACAUAAAAUGGAUUACAUGACCUCCGAUACCAAUCCAACUACAGCCAACUUCCUUUUGCAGACCCUUUUCCCUCAUCUCUUUUCUCAAUUUAUCAACACUUUCCCAGUUUGCUUCUUCAGCAUACAUAUUGGAGAGCAAAACUUUAUAGCCUGCCAUGCUGUCUACUGAGCCCAUUUGAAGUAACUUAUUGGCAAUAACCUCUCCCAGUUCAAUGGGUCCAUGAAGUCUACAAGCUCCAAGAAGUGAUCCCCAAAUUUCCAUUACAUUCCCUUCUUUGCCCAGUUGUUUAACAAACUCAUAGGCUUCAAUCACUUUCCCAACUCUUCCUAACAUGUCUGCAACACAACAAUAAUGCUGAAUUGAAGGCUGAAUCUUAAAUUCUCUCUUCAUUGACUCAAAUACCUGAAGACCUUCAUCAACCAAACCAGCAUAACUGCAAGCUGACAAGACCACAACAAAAGUAACUGCAUCAGGCUCAAUACCAGAUUUCUGCAUUGAGUGAAACAAAGAGAGAGCUCUCUCCCCCAUCCCAUGUUGGCCGUAACCCAAUAUCAUUGCCGUGCAUGUGACAGAAUUUUUCUCAGAAGAUCUGGUAAAAACACUUUCAGCAUAAUUAAUUGCGCCUGAUUUAGAGUACAUGUCAACAAGGGCAGUUCUUACAAAGAUAUUAUGGUCCAAUAAAUAACGGAUGGAGACUCCAUGGAGCUGCUUUCCGGAAUCUACAAUUCCCAAUGGGUUACAAGCUGGGAUAAUGGAUGCUAAGGUCACAGCAUUAGGCCUUAGAUUUUGCUCUAGCAUUUGUGAAAAGGUAACAAAAGCUUCUUCAAUCAACCCAUUCUGUACAUACCCAGCAAUCAUUGCAUUCCAUGUGGCUUGAUCUCUAUUUCUAAUAUAGUUCUUCUCAAAAAGGCGCUGUGAUGUCCUAAUCAAACCUGAUUUAGCAUACAUGUCUAUAAGAUAGCCGUCCAUUCCAUCAAAUUUUAUGCCUUUCCUAACAAGAUAUGCAUGAAUCUGCUUUCCAAUCUCUUGGUUUCUAAGAUUAGAUGCUGCAGAGAGCAGACAAGUUACUGUCACACAAUCAACUGUAUAUUCUUGCUUCUGCAUCUCAUACACAAGCAUCAACCCGUCAUCAUCCAUUCCAUUCUGUAUGAAACCAGAAAUCAUGGUAUUCCAUGAGACAGCAUUUCUUUCUGGCAUCUUCAAAAAAACUUUGAAUGAUGUGCAGACAGAAUUGCACCUCGAAUACAUGAAAAUGAUUGCAUUCAGUAUCCUCACUGGUAGUACUGUUAGAUUCUUAAUUACAAAGGCAUGCAGCUGUUGACACAAGUCCAAACGCUGCAACUGUGAAACUGCUGUUAUAACUGAGAGAAAGGUUACAUCAUCAAGAACAGUCUGUUCAGUUUCUAUAGCCCGAAGAAAUAGAUUAAUUCCUUGGAAGAAGUAAUCAUUCGGUACAUAACUACAAAUCAUAGUGUUCCAAACUUCUGUAUUCUUCUCCAAACAAAGGUCAAAAACCUUCCUAGCAAGAUCAAGGAAACCAAGCUCAGCAUACAUUGAUAUUGCUGAACUCACAACAAACAAGUCAUUUACAUAUUCACUACCUAAUUUAAGAAGCAUCCCAUAAAGAAUAUUUGCAUUCUUGUAGUGGCCAAUGCUCGAGAGAGCAGGAAAAACAUUGACAAAACUUACUGGACUUGGUUUAAUCCCCAUUUUCAUCAUUAUCCUAAAUUGUCUAAUCGCUUCUACAUAUCUCUCCGUCUUCACAUACCAAGAAACCAUAGUAUUACAACCAAUCACAUCUCUCUUAGGCAUUGUCUUAAAAACAUUACAUACCAAAUCAUAAUUGGAGAAAUCAAAAUCAUUCAAGUAGUACAUGCUACUCAAACAUGUAGAAUACAUAUUUAAAAGAGAAUUACACACAAUUCUGCUCGGGUAUGAUAAACAACGAAUAAUAUGGCAAUGAAUGGCUUUACCUAUCAUUAAAUUUCCAGUUUCUGCGCAGGCUUUAAGAGUAGAAGAGUAUGUAUAGGGAUCAGAUUUGGUUUGAGGAGAAGUAUUUCUAAGUUGGGAGAAGAAUAAAAGGGCUUCCACUGGCAUGUUGUUGCAAAUGAAGCCAAUAAUGAUCGUGUUCCAAAGAACAGUAGUUGGGCGAGGGAUUGCGUCGAAUAGUUGGCGAGCAAGACGGGGUUGCCCCUCUUGACAGAGCCAGCUAAGUCGAGAGCGGAUUGUAGGGGCUCUGAGAGUGGGAUUCGAUGAUGGUGAGACAGUAAAGCGAGAGGCUUUACGGUGGUGGUAGUUGGAGGAAAGGUCAGUGUGACGAGAGGGUGUGGAGGGAGGGAUAGGAAGAUAAGAAGAAGUGGAGGACAUAGGCAAAUUCUCAGGAUGAUGACUUCCUCCUACGCUUUCCUGCGUUAUUGUGUAGUUUGUUUUGCAGAAGUACAAGUUCUAUCGGGAUAUUUCAAAGUACUAUCAGAACUAGUUGUGCUUUCCAUCGAAAAUUGAAAUAAAAAUCAAAUUAAAUCCAAGUUAAACCAAAACUAAAUCGAAA